CUAAGGUCCUCGUGGAAAACUCGGUGCUAGGACGUCAUUGCCCAAAGUUCCCUGGCCGUGAGAAGAAGCAGCCCCUCUGUCCCCUCAAGUUCGGUGUCCUGAAAGAUCUUUACGUGGCCAGGCUUGUUUCCGGCGGCAUGCCCGUGAUCUUUGCCAAGCCCUUGGCCAAGGAUGUUACCAAGCUCGUCAAUGAAAAAAUUGGCGAGCUGAGGAGGGCGGAAACGCGAAGGGAAGCCGCAGCUGCUGCAAUCCUGGACGAAGAUGUGCCUGAAUGCUAGGAAUGAUUUUUGAUUAGUUAAAUAAAAACUGUAUUGAUUAUCUA